GCCCCUUUUGUAUUGUACUACUGGUGAUCCUUCAAUGAAGCAGUGCAAUGUUAAAAGGGCA
rnacentral:pre_miRNA from 1 species